rnacentral:tRNA from 1 species
AGGUAUAUAGCUCAGUGGCAGAGCGUGUGCUCAGAAGCACGAAGUCCAGGGUUCAAUCCCUGGUAACUCCA